UACGAAGGGUGCAAGCGUUAGUCGGAAUUACUGGGCGUAAAGCGUGCGUAGGUGGUUUCUUAAGUCGGAUGUGAAAGCCCUGGGCUCAACCUGGGAAUGGCACUCGAUACUGGGAAGCUAGAGUGCGGUAGAGGAGGGUGGAAUUCCCGGUGUAGCGGUGAAAUGCGUAGAGAUCGGGAGGAACAUCAGUGGCGAAGGCGACCCUCUGGACCAGCACUGACGCUGAGGCACGAAAGCGUGGGGAGCAAACAGG
rnacentral:rRNA from 2 species